UACGUAGGGUGCGAGCGUUGUCCGGAAUUAUUGGGCGUAAAGGGCUCGUAGGCGGUUUGUCGCGUCGGGAGUGAAAUCCACUGGCUUAACUGGUGGCUUGCUUUCGAUACGGGCAGACUGGAGGUAUGCAGGGGAGAACGGAAUUCCGGGUGUAGCGGUGGAAUGCGUAGAGAUCCGGAAGAACACCGGAGGCGAAGGCGG
rnacentral:rRNA from 1 species